CAGGUUCGGUUGGGAGGCUGCCAAGCCCUGUAUGGAAGACAAACAUUUUCUUGCUUUCUGGCCCUAAUAUUGACGUUCUCCCUUCUCCCUCGGAUGUACAAAGACUGAAGAACCAUGGAUUAGGCAACCCUGUGCAUGAGGGGACAGAAACCAGGAGCUCUAAAAUUAACCUGAAUUGGAGCUUGUCUGAACUGAACAACUUUGUGUGUCAAAGCUACCCACACAUUAGCCUAAAUCUGGUUGGCUUUGAACUGGCAAGAGCUGGAAAAGGACGAAAGGUAAAAAAAAGUACAGGUGAAUUCUGUGAGGGAGCUGAAGGAAAAGGUUGGCAAAAGCAGACUCUACAUUCUACCACGAGCAGAUGUGUCACAGGAAACCUACUCAACAGCAGCAAUGUCCAGGACCUUGUUUCCAGAACCCUCAACUGCACCAGAAGUACAGAAUAUCUCUCCAGAGGUUGAGAGGACCACCGGAAAUUUGGGGGAAGAGCAGACACUUCUAGAUUG